GAUGAACGUUGGCGGCGUGCUUAACACAUGCAAGUCGAACGCUGAAGCCCUUUCGGGGGUGGAUGAGUGGCGAACGGGUGAGUAACACGUGGGUAAUCUGCCCUGCACUCUGGGAUAAGCCUUGGAAACGGGGUCUAAUACCGGAUAGGACACAUCGCCGCAUGGUGUGUGUGUGGAAAGUUCCGGCGGUGUAGGUUGAGCCCGCGGCCUAUCAGCUUGUUGGUGGUGUGAUGGCCUACCAAGGCGCCGACGGGUAGCCGGCCUGAGAGGGUGACAGGCCAAACUGGGACUGAGACACGGCCCAGACUCCUACGGGAGGCAGCAGUGGGGAAUUUUGGACAAUGGGCGAAAGCCUGAUCCAGCAAUGCCGCGUGCAGGAAGAAGGCCUUCGGGUUGUAAACUGCUUUUGUACGGAGCGAAAGGCUCUCUCUAAUACAGGGGGCUCAUGACGGUACCGUAAGAAUAAGCACCGGCUAACUACGUGCCA
rnacentral:rRNA from 1 species